CCCAGCCCCGCCUCUCUCGGCGGACCGCGCCCCCUUCCGGGAGCCCCGCCCCGUUCGCCGCGCCUCCUCCUCCGCACAGCUCCGGUUGCGGGGAGGCCCGGGUGGGUACCCGGCGCUCCGGCUCCCAGUCUCCUGGGCUUCUCCAGUCCUUCAGCGCCGUUCUCCGGUCACAGGGAAUGAAAGCGAGGAAGAAGGAAACGGUGUCGAGAAUUGCGAAGAGAGAAAGCAUAGAAAACCCACAUUAGAGGCACUCCCAGAGCAGAAACCCUUCGGAGCAUCCCGACUUCCUCGGCCCGCGUGCAAUCCAGGCAAAAUUGAGGUUGUCUCUGAGCCGCCCUCCCUAAGCAGGUCGGAAAGCCCCCGAAUCAUCCCAGGUCCCGCCGCGCUGCACUCGCAACCUGGGGUGGAGGUCCCUCUAGUGGUUGGCACCAAACAAAAGUUCUGUCUUAUGAAGAGCCGAGGUCAGGAAGCAUUUCCCUGUGCCCAGCGCCAAGGUCUGGGACCUUAGGUCCAAGAAAAGCGUUGGCAAUGUCUGACCACAGGAAUGGGUUCUCGAACUGGGGAGGACUGAAGCUGGAGAUCUGGUCCAGCCCCUACCUCCAGCGUGUGGCCUGAACCCGUUUUGGUUGUACUGCUAUGUUGUGGCCCUGCCCAGGCCUCCAAGGACUGGCUGCUGUUAAGCUGUUUAAAAUCCCUGUAGGCCUCAGAUGGCAGCGACACCAGGGACUCGGCAUAGUCCCCAGCUCUGGCAGGAGUCACCACAGCCCUAGCCUUUAGUUCUCUACAGGCUGGAGUGUCGACAAACUCCACAGGACACAACUUUUUCAAACCAAAUUUACCCUCGCGGUCUGAAAUGACCAGUAGGCCCAGGAGAAUUUUACAUGUGAACAGAACCUAACCCACCCUGGCAAAUAUGAGACGUGUGGUCACUGCGGGAACCUGGCCAGCAGCAGACCAAAGCACAGCCAGCAGGGGAAGGCUGGGGCCCGCAAGAGUUGUGUUACAACAGGACACCCUUCAGUUCUCUUUCACUUCCUUAAAAUAGCAGCAGAGCGACUUUUGUAGACGCAGGCUGCCACAGUUCACACAAGGUCAUGGCUGUUUCCGAAUCCCACCCUUUAUUGCCCUAGCGGAGCCACUCCCCUUACCUCCGCCCCCAGAAACUGCUAGCCUGUUCUUAAAUUGAUACAGUUACCUUUUUAAAUGUUCUAAGUCACCGGCUCUGGAGCUUCUUUGCACUUUGGAACCAACUUGCGGGAAGGAACUUUAAAAAUACUGAUAUCUCGAUCCAUCCCCAGAGGUUCUGAUUUAAUGGUCUUGGGGAUAUGGCCACGGCAUGAGGACUGUUAAAACUCCGCAGGUGAUUCUUAUGUGCAACAAAGUUUAAGAACCACUGAUGUAGGCCAUGUCGAUGUCAGUCUUCACUUAAAUCCAACAAGACCCCAGAGCUAAAACGUUCACCUGAAAGAAACCCCAUUCCCAGGCCUGCAUACUGACCUGCGCUGGCUCACAAGAAGCAAAGUGGUCCCUUAACAGGGGCUUCCUGGAGAAAAUGUCUUGACCUAAAAGAGUGAUUCGAGCUGCAGGGAUUUAAGAGAGACAGGGCCUUGCUCUGUCACCCAGGCUGAAAUGCAGUGUUGCAAUCUUGGCUCGCUGUAGCCUCAAGCUCUUGGACUCAGGCGAUUCUCCUAUCUCAGCUUCCUAAGUAGCUGGGACUACAGGGCUCAGUGUGGUCAAAAGAAGACUAUAGAAUCAAGGAUGAAGAGAAGGAACACAGAAUAAAAGGACGUCUCAGCAGGAAGCUCUGUGACUACUAUGUGACCGAGCUGAAGAAGCCCCCGUCUUCCAGCGCAUGUUAUUCCCAUGACAGAUGCUAAAAGUUCAAGGGGAGAGCUACAAGAAGUGCGUUUUCCUGUGGCUACUUUCAUGUCUGGAUGCAAUGCCUAGACCUGCAUCCAUCUUGCGACCAACCUGAAGAUGAACAGAAAGGAAGGAAGGAUGGCCCAAUAGCCUGGGAAGAACUGGUGUUCCUGAUACCAUCAUUAACCACAGAAUCUACAAUCCCGGAACCCCCCAUCCUUAACCAUGGAAUCUACAAUCCUAUCUCUAGACCCUUUGUCCAGAUGCUACAGUUUCUUUGUUCAAUCUAGUUUGUGUCAGGAUUUCUGUUCAUUACAUCAAAAGUAUUCUAAUACUUGUAGCAAAGCAACUGGAGAAGUUUUCACUUUGUCUUUAACCAAAGAAGACUUCCAGGAAACAUCUCCUCAGUGGGUUUCUCCCUCACCACUGGAUUUUUAUCUCUGUACUAGUGCUUUGAUUUGUUUUAGGAGUCUCACCUCUCCACCUGUCAUAUUUCCCUGGCAGGCUCAUUUCUGCUAAUGCCCACAAUAUGUGUAUCAAUGAGCUUUCAACGUUAGGUACACAGCUCUUCAGGCAUGUAUAGCACAUUAAUCUGUCUGCUUCUAAGUGGUCUGUUGACAUGUUUGGGUGCCAGUUAUAUCUACAAGGCUGUGAUCAUUGUCCUGGGUUAUUCUGUUUGUUCUCUCUGCAGGAUGCAUUAGGACACCCAAGGCCAUGGCCAUCACUUACAUCUAGGAUUCAAUCUUAUCUCCUGUGAAUCACUGGAAACCUCCUGUCCUGGAACCCUUUUUUUCCACAUCCCACUGGAUGUCAUUCAUAGCAACUGGUCUUGUGGGUUGUCUAUUUUAUUGUGUUGUCUUACUCUUCCUCCUGGUAUCAGUUUUUAAAUCCUCUUGAUGAGAUCAGCUGAUCAGUCGCUAAGCAACAUAGUCCCCCAUGUCUUUGUAAGAUUCUCUGCACUCAUGGCUAGAAUGAUUUAUUCUGGUAUCUUAAGCUGUGUUUCAGAACCUCAUUCUAAAUAUCAACCUAUUCUUGUAAGUCCACUACUGAUCAUCUUUAGAUAUUCUUCAGUCUUCCAGAGUUCCAAAGGGCAGUAGGAAGAAGCAAUGAAAAUACCACCUGUAUUCUCACAUCUUUCAUUGUUCCACUCAAAAAAUACCACCAUGUUCACUUCUGGUGGAACGUUUAUGUCCAUGAGAAGCAGUGGCUUUGAAGAGUUUUGGCAGACUAUGGCGCCUUACUCAACAUUGGGAAGGUAUCUUGCCAUCAGACCUUUUGGGUCUCCAUGAAACUUCUUAUACCCCCUCUGGGAAAAGUCACUAACUGUGAUCUUACUGAGCUUCUAAACACAGCAUUUUUUUUACACUUAAGUGAGCGGGGGUCCUCCUCAUUUGUGCUUCUCUUCUUGUAAGGGUGACUUCCUCCCAGUAGGAUGAAUCUCAUGCCUAUUUGUGUUAUUUUGCUAAUUCCAGCUUCUUUUCUACUCAGGGGGGUUCCAACUCUUUUAAGGUCUCAUCUUCAGCACUUCUAAACUGUGGGAAACUAUGUGAAAACAAAUGGAGUGGCCAAACACACCAUUCAUCACUGUGCUUCUGGACAGCUGCAAGUCCAUACGUGUUCUGAUAAUUCAAUACAAGAAAGAAGAUUUGCUUGGGAAGGUCUGAAUGGCCCUAGCUUUGUUUGUUAACCAUAACCUCUACCAGCUGGAAACACAAUGCCCCACUAAUACUAACAGUGCCUGCUUGUCCAAACAGCAUUCUGGCCACUUACAGCAAUUGACACAAAUUCUAACAGGUAGAUGGGGCAAAGCAUUACCUUGUGUAAAACUGCUGCUAAAAUAUAUUCCUAGUGAGAAAGGUCAACUUGUGGGCUAAAGUCCUUGUCACCUCCUGAUCAGUUUUCACUUAGGGCACAGCAGUCUGCCAUUCACCAUUGGGAUCUCUGUGUGUUUCUUCUCUCUUAUGAAAGGACAUAUUGAGCGCUCUAGGACUUGGCUGCCUACAUCAAGUAGAGGGGGACCCUCAUGAUUCACUAAGGGGCCUCAGUUCUGAAUAUUUCUCAUUAUUCAAAAAUGCAAAGCCAUUGUCAUUACGUGGCAGUUUAUUGGAACCAAGGGAGGAAUUGGUCCCUUUUCAUGUUCUUCUCCUAAAUAGAGAAAAGGUAAUUAAAACUUGGAGCUUAAUAAGGGCCAUCUCUAUUUGAACAGCCUAAUACAAAUCCAUUCUCAAUACCUUUUUACACCUUGUCUGAACUGACUUCUACUGUGUACUCCACUGCAUGGGAAUUCUGGAACUUUAGAACGAAGGGAACUCAAUUCAUUCUAUAUAUAUCUCAUUCAUUCAUUUUUUUUUCAUUUGUUCACCAAAUGCUAACUCAAUACCUACGUAACAGAGAUAAUGUUCUUAUUGUCUGUAAAUCAGAAAAUGCAUGCAUUGAAUAAACGCCAUAUAUUCUUGGAAGCUGAGGGCUGAUAACUCAAGGUAAAUGAUCAGCUAGUCUCCUAUGAAAUAAGUAUCUUAUUUCAUGUUACAUGUAGAAAUGACCAUGCAACUUUAUCUUAAAGCCAGGCCUUAUUGAGAAAAAGGGGAUCCAAAUUCCAAAUGUUUCCUUACAUGCUGAGAGGAAACCUUGGAGGUCUGAGCGUGAGUCAUAGGUAGAGGGAAAUCAUGCUAAGAUAUAUAUUGUUUCCACCAGACAGGUAGAGGAAGCAGAGACCCUUUGGCAGAAGAGAUACAGAGAAGAGAGGAGGAGAGGUUCUGGCUUUACCGUUCAGGCUUGAAACCCCAAGUUUAGAUGGAUUGAGGGGGAAGCUUAAGGCAAACAUGACCCCUGGGCCAACACAGGCUAGAGGAACAAUGUAGAAAUGACCAUGUAACUUUAUAGGCAUGAAGAAGAUGCCUGUGAUGGCACUGAGUCUCCUGUGGCUCCCUUGUGUGCCCAAAUGCCUGAAGGAUGUGAGAGUAUUGGUUGUUAGAAUUUCAGGGAAUUCCACCAAGUGGGGAAUGACUCUGUAUUAAGGGCUGCAAAGAAAAGCUCCCAGGCCAAGCAUUGAGUGGGAGGUGCUACCUGCCCUCAGGGAUCCACAGGGACUUCAACAGCUGAUGUGGGGUCUCAUCAGCCUCAAGGUGGCCAAGUUUCUAUGCUGAGACUAUAGCCCACAGUUACACCAGCCAUGAUCCUCAGCAGCAGAGGUAGUGAUGAUGAAGUCUGAUGCCCAAAGACAAGCAGAACAAUAUGCACAGUUCCAGCCAAUGCCACGAGGUAGCCUUUGUACUUCCCUAUACCUAGCUGGGAGGGAGGAAGGAAGGAGAGAGGAGACUCCUAGGAAGAGGAGAAAAUAAUUAUCCCAAAGAGACUGACAUAACCUGGAAAAGACCGAGAACUACUAAUUAGCAAGAUAAAGUUCAUUUACCUCUUCCUGUUUCUUACCAAGAUGGUAUGUAUCCUUUCAGAUAAUAAAUAAAUUUAUGUUUUCUUGCCCUAUUUUAAUGUGAUUUAAAUGUUUCUUGUUUUUUCUGUUUUCAUUCAUAACAAAAAUUUUGUUCUCAGAGACACUGAGACAUGAGACACGAUGCUGGACUAUAUUGGGGGGGAGCACCUCAUCAUAUGGGCAAGAUAUUGCAGCAGCAUGUAGCCCUCCACGUCCUGACUGCUCACUUCUCUUUCGCCAUCCCCUAACACACGUAUUAGGCUUUUGCUAUGUUCAUUUAUCUAGCCCAUAAGCCACUCCUUCAGAGGGCAAUGCAUGGAAUUGGCAGCCUUGGUUCCCCACCAACUGACAGGGGUCUGGAAUUCAGGUGUUUCCAAAGACCUGCAGUCUUGGGGGCCUUAAUGCUUGCUGAGUAGCAGCACUUUCUAGGACUUUCCCUAUUGUACGUUUCAGUCCAUGCUUUUCUUUUUGUCUUGUCUCAGUGUUCUUCCCUGCUAGUCUGGUUCUCAACAAGACCCAAGCCCUGCAACACACCCAAAUCCCCUUGAUGGGAACCUGAUUUCCUACGUGGCUUUUCCCAGUCACCCCAUGCUCUCCCCACUCCCAUCUUUCCUGGUGAAUUGCUCCUUUCCUAAAUCUGUUGUGAAUAACAAUUUGGCCACAGUGCUAAAGCCUCUCACUCCUCACUUUAAAUUCCUUUGGGAAACAGUCAUUCAUGUUCAUUUUAGACAAUUUCCCUGUCCUGUGCGGACUCUUCUCAAGAAGUCUACUCCCAAAACUCCUGCUGAGGUAGGUCCAGGUCA
rnacentral:lncRNA from 10 species